rnacentral:rRNA from 1 species
UACGGAGGGUGCAAGCGUUAUCCGGAUUCACUGGGUUUAAAGGGUGCGUAGGCGGGUUUGUAAGUCCGUGGUGAAAUCUCCGAGCUUAACUCGGAAACUGCCGUGGAUACUAUAGAUCUUGAAUGUUGUGGAGGUUAGCGGAAUAUGUCAUGUAGCGGUGAAAUGCAUAGAUAUGACAUAGAACACCAAUUGCGAAGGCAGCUGGCUACACAAAUAUUGACGCUGAGGCACGAAAGCGUGGGGAUCAAACAGG